GAGUAUAGCUGGUCAGUGGUGUGGGUGAGGCGUGGUGUGCGAUCGUUGGCCGUGAGGUGUGUGGGUAAAGCGCCGGUAGGCGGUUGGUCGCGUCUGCAGUGGAAUUCCGCGGCGCAACCCCGGACUGGCAGUGGGUACGGGCGUACGAGAGUGUGGUAGAGGAGACCGGGAGUCCUGGUUUAGCGGUGGAAUGCGCAGAUAACAGGAGGAACACCGAUGGCGAAGGCAGGUCUCUGGGCCACAACUGACGCGGAGAAGCGAAAGCAUGGGGAGCGAACAGGAUUAGAUACCCCGGUAGUC
rnacentral:rRNA from 1 species